rnacentral:rRNA from 1 species
AACGAACGCUGGCGGCAUGCCUAACACAUGCAAGUCGAACGAGACCUUCGGGUCUAGUGGCGCACGUGUGCGUAACGCGUGGGAAUCUACCCUCAGGUUCCGAAUACCUCAGAGAAAUUUGAGCUCAUACCGGAUGAUGUCGUACGUCCAAAGAUGUAUCGCCUGAGGAUGAGCCCGCGUAGGAUUCGGUAGUUGGUGAGGUACAGGCUCGCCAAGCCGACGAUCCUUAGCUGGUCUGAGAGGAGGCUCAGCUAGGCUGGGACUGCGACACGGCCCAGACUCCUACGGGGCGGAGCAGAGGGGUAUAUUGGGCACGGGGCGAAAGUCUGAUACAGCAAUGCCGGGGGAGUGAUGAAUGGCUUAGGAUUGUAAAGCCGUUUUAGCCGGGAUGAUAAUGACAGUACCGGGAGAAUAAGCACCGGCUAACUACGUG